UACGUAGGGUGCAAGCGUUGUCCGGAAUUAUUGGGCGUAAAGAGCUUGUAGGCGGUUUGUCGCGUCUGCUGUGAAAUUUCGGGGCUCAACCCCGAACUUGCAGUGGGUACGGGCAGACUAGAGUGUGGUAGGGGAGACUGGAAUUCCUGGUGUAGCGGUGAAAUGCGCAGAUAUCAGGAGGAACACCGAUGGCGAAGGCAGGUCUCUGGCUGAGAUUGACGCUCAGGCACGAAGCGUGGGAGCAACAGG
rnacentral:rRNA from 1 species